UACGUAGGGGGCAAGCGUUGUCCGGAAUCAUUGGGCGUAAAGCGCGCGUAGGCGGCCCGGUAAGUCCGCUGUGAAAGUCAAAGGCUCAACCUUUGAAUGCCGGUGGAUACUGUCGGGCUAGAGUCCGGAAGAGGGGAGUGGAAUUCCUGGUGUAGCGGUGGAAUGCGCAGAUAUCAGGAGGAACACCGAUAGCGAAGGCAGCUCGCUGGGACGGUACUGACGCUCAGGCGCGAAAGCGUGGGGAGCAAACAGG
rnacentral:rRNA from 1 species